AACUGUUUUUGCUCUUUUUUAGAAAAUUUAGAAAAAUAAAUUGAAAUUUCGUGCCACUACUGACAUGUCACAUGUUAUUGUAUGUAAAGAUUAAAUUUUUGUUAUGAGAACUACAGUUCUUAUGAAAGAAAAAGAUUCACUAAAAGCCUACUACUACUCUGGUAAAUCACAUCAGCUUUAUCAGAAUUUAGAAAAAUGAAUUAAACUACAACUUUUGAACAGUCAUUGUUUGUGAAGUUGCCUUUGUUAUCACUUGAUUAGUUUGCUUACUGUUGAAACAUGGUUUUAAUUUUGUAAAUUUAAUGAUAUGAAAUUUACUCUAUUAAUCAUUAGUUGACAGUUAAAGAGAAGCUGGAGCUUUACAUAAUAAAGGUAAAAAUAAUUUUGUUUACUCUUAGAUAAGAGUUGAAAGAGAGUUAGUGCAUGGAGCAUCAAUAAAACUUAUAUAAUUACUUUUUAGUUUAAAAAAAAGUAAUUAUAUAAGUUUUAUUAAUGCCACAAUUGAU